AUACGGAGGGUGCAAGCGUUGUUCGGAAUCACUGGGCGUAAAGGGCGCGCAGGCGGUUUGGUAAGUCAGAUGUGAAAGCCCAUGGCUCAACUAUGGAAGUGCAUUUGAAACUGUCAGACUUGAGUACUAGAGGGGAAAGUGGAAUUCCCGGUGUAGAGGUGAAAUUCGUAGAUAUCGGGAGGAAUACCGGUGGCGAAGGCGACUUUCUGGCUAGAUACUGACGCUGAGGCGCGAAAGCGUGGGGAGCAAACAGGAUUAGAUACCCUAGUAGUCC
rnacentral:rRNA from 1 species